AGAAGGACGCAGGCAGCAAAGAGUAGUCAGUCCCUUCUUGGCUCUGCUGACACUCGAGCCCACAUUCCAUCACCUGCUCCCAAUCAUGCAGGUCUCCACUGCUGCCCUUGCCGUCCUCCUCUGCACCAUGGCUCUCUGCAACCAGGUCCUCUCUGCACCACGUGAGUCCAUGUUGUUGUUGUGGGUAUCACCACUCUCUGGCCAUGGUUAGACCACAUCAGUCUUUUUUUGCGGCCUGAGAGCCCCGAAGAGAAAAGAAGGAAGUUCUUAAAGCGCUGCCAAACACCUUGGUCUUUUUCUUCACAACUUUUAUUUUUAUCUCUAGAAGGGGUCUUAGCCCUCCUAGUCUCCAGUUGCUGCUGACACGCCGACCGCCUGCUGCUUCAGCUACACCUCCCGACAGAUUCCACAGAAUUUCAUAGCUGACUACUUUGAGACGAGCAGCCAGUGCUCCAAGCCCAGUGUCAUCUUCCUAACCAAGAGAGGCCGGCAGGUCUGUGCUGACCCCAGUGAGGAGUGGGUCCAGAAAUACGUCAGUGACCUGGAGCUGAGUGCCUGAGGGGUCCAGAAGCUUCGAGGCCCAGCGACCUCAGUGGGCCCAGUGGGGAGGAGCAGGAGCCUGAGCCUUGGGAACAUGCGUGUGACCUCUACAGCUACCUCUUCUAUGGACUGGUUAUUGCCAAACAGCCACACUGUGGGACUCUUCUUAACUUAAAUUUUAAUUUAUUUAUACUAUUUAGUUUUUAUAAUUUAUUUUUGAUUUCACAGUGUGUUUGUGAUUGUUUGCUCUGAGAGUUCCCCCUGUCCCCUCCACCUUCCCUCACAGUGUGUCUGGUGACAACCGAGUGGCUGUCAUCGGCCUGUGUAGGCAGUCAUGGCACCAAAGCCACCAGACUGACAAAUGUGUAUCAGAUGCUUUUGUUCAGGGCUGUGAUCGGCCUGGGGAAAUAAUAAAGAUGUUCUUUUAAACGGUAA
rnacentral:lncRNA from 1 species